UGAAUACGAGAUGCUACGGCAUUGAAGCAGUCUAUGUCAGACUUCCAAGAAAAGCUCGCAAUGUCAGAAACAAUCAAUGCCUGUACCAUAACCGACACAGGUGGGUAGGUAGAGUAUACUAAGGGGCGCGAGAUAACUCUCUCUAAGGAACUCGGCAAAAUGACUCCGUAACUUCGGGAGAAGGAGUGCCUUAUUUAUAAGGUUGCAAUAACAAGAUCCAAGCAACUGUUUACCAAAAACACAGGUCUCCGCUAAGUCGUAAGACGAUGUAUGGGGGCUGACGCCUGCCCAGUGCCAGAAGGUUAAAGAAGUUGGUUAGCCUAGCGAAGCUGAUGACUGAAGCCCUGGUGAACGGCGGCCGUAACAAUAACGGUCCUAAGGUAGCGAAAUUCCUUGUCGGGUAAGUUCCGACCCGCACGAAAGGCGUAAUGAUUUGGAUACUGUCUCGGAGAGGGGCUCGGUGAAAUAGACUUGUCUGUGAAGAUGCGGACUACCUGCACCUGGACAGAAAGACCCUAUGAAGCUUUACUGUAACUUGAGAUUGAAAUUGGACUUCAUUUGCGCAGUAUAGGUGGGAGACGUUGAGAAUAUUCUUGCGGGAAUAUUGGAGUCAUCAGUGAGAUACCACUCUUGUAAUGUUAGAUUUCUAACUUUGUAUCAUUAUCUGGUCAAAGGACAGUUUCAGGCGGGCAGUUUGACUGGGGCGGUCGCCUCCCAAACGGUAACGGAGGCGCACAAAGGUUUCCUCUGAACGUGUAGAAAUCGUAUCUAGAGUGUAAAGGCAUAAGGAAGCUUGACUGUGAGACCUACAAGUCGAGCAGGGACGAAAGUCGGUCUUAGUGAUCUGACGGUGCUGAGUGGAAAGGCCGUCACUCAACGGAUAAAAGUUACUCUAAGGAUAACAGGCUGAUCUCCCCCAAGAGUUCACAUCGACGGGGAGGUUUGGCACCUCGAUGUCGGCUCAUCGCAUCCUGGGGCGGUAGUACGUCCCAAGGGUUGGGCUGUUCGCCCAUGAAAGCGGUACGCGAGCUGGGUUCAGAACGUCGUGAGACAGUUCGGUCCAUAUCCGGUGUAGGCGUUAGAAUAUUGAGAGGAGCCUUCUUUAGUACGAGAGGACCGAGAAGGACAUACCUCUGGUGUACCAGUUAUCGUGCCAACGGUAAACGCUGGGUAGCUAUGUAUGGAGUGGAUAACCGCUGAAAGCAUCUAAGUGGGAAGCCCACCUCAAGAUAAG
rnacentral:rRNA from 1 species